rnacentral:misc_RNA from 1 species
CAUGAAUAACGCAGCGAAAUGCGAUAAGUAAUGUGAAUUGCAGAAUUCAGUGAAUCAUCGAAUCUUUGAACGCAUCUUGCGCUCCUUGGUAUUCUGAGGAGCAUGCCUGUUUGAGUGUCAUUAAAUUCUCAACUACACUGACUUUGAAUUGGUGUGGCUUGGAUUUGGGGGGAAAAUUGUUGUGGGCUUUUUGUAUAGUCUGCUCCCCUGAAAUUGAUUAGCGGUACCUUUGUGGAACUGUCUACAGGUGUGAUAAUUAUCUACAUCUUAGACAUCUGCUGGAAUGCUGCUUUCUAAACCUUACUUGUAUUGACAAUCUUGACCUCAAAUCAGGUAGGACUACCCGCUGAACUUAAGCAUAUCAAUAAGCGGAGGA